rnacentral:lncRNA from 1 species
GACAAAAGAACUUUGAAGUGAAAAAUAUUAUUAACAUAAAUAUAAUUCAUUACAAAGAAAUCUAAAAUCAAAAAGGUAAACAAUCAAUACUCUAAAAAUAAGAUUACAUCAUAGAAGAAAAAUAAAAGAAACAUUACACAAAAGCAUAAUUAAGUAAACAACAGGUUGUUGUUUCAUGAAUGCUUCAACUUCCUUAAAUUUGCUAUCUUCUUCCUUGAUUUUAACUUUUUAUCUGUGUUGUGCUAAGACAAUGUUGUAGUAGAAGAUGACUUUGAAGGUACCUGUCAUUUUUUUAUCUUUAUAAAAUUAAAGAUUUUUCCAAAAGUAUUUCACAAUUUGAUCAUCUAUUAUUGGUACAUCAUUUUUCUCUAUCUAUCAUUUGUCUUUACAUGAUUAAAAAAUAAUAUUAAUAAUAAAAAACUUGAGAAAACACUUAAUUGGUAUAGGAGAAUAAUCUUAUAAAAGAAAAUCUUAUUGCCAAAAUGAAAGAAUAGUAAAUAGCAAGGCAAAUAGCUAUAAAUAAAAAUAUUUAGGUAAGAAUGCAAAAAUAAUUAAAUUCUCAAUGAAACAUAUCCGCAAUCAAUUCUUUCAUCCAAUAAAAAAAUGGAAACAAUUCUAAAUGAAAGACAUGAGAUUACAAGCACAUACUUGCUUUCAUUAUUACUUCAAAUUAACAAUAUAAUCACAAGAUUACAAGCACAUAAUCAACCUCGAUUCACUUGCACAAAUUUUACAUCCAAAGCUCUGAACUUAAUCGAUUAAACAGUUGGUGUCAAACUUGAACUAAAUUAAAUUAUUAAGCAGUCAAUAAAUCAACAUUUACAGUACAAUAAAUAUAAAGUUGAAAGAAAUAAAAGAUUAAGUCAAAAAAUAAAAAUAAGAUAACUUACACAUUUAGAUUUUGUAUGGAGACUACUUGAACCUUUUUCGCUCACUCUAAUACAUUUUUCUUAAACAAAGUAAUCGAGGAAACUCUCUUCAUACAAUUUUGACUAAACAUACAACGACCACUUGGGGAAAAAAAAGGCUUUUUGACCUUUAUUUAGUCACUUCAUCUACACUUCCUAGCAUAUCCAGCAAAUCCAACAAUAUUUUCAGCAAACUUUAUUAACCCAAGCUUCUAAAUCGUCCUUCCAACCAACACUGGUUUUAAAAUUAAAAGUUGGAACUUAACUUAUUAUAAUUCGGUUGGACUCAAUNNNNNNNNNNNNNNNNNNNNNNNNNNNNNNNNNNNNNNNNNNNNNNNNNNNNNNNNNNNNNNNNNNNNNNNNNNNNNNNNNNNNNNNNNNNNNNNNNNNNGAUAUCAGCACACCUAAACCCACUGCUCAAAUUGAAAAACAAAUUCAUCUUAAUAUCCUAAUUUUGCAAAAGUUUCUCAAAACCUACUAAACUUUGCUUCAAAUUCCUUCAUUCAUUUGCAUAUAUUUUAUGUUUUUCUUUUACUAGAUUCUCUUAGGAAUUUUAUCAAGCACCUGAUAAGCAUAAAAAUAUUCAAAUAAUAGAUCUAAGAAUUUCAAUCCCUAAUUUUACCAAACACAAAAAUAUGAAUUUCACAUAAUCCAAUCACAAUUAAACUAAUCAAAAUUAAAUUGGCUGAGUUUAUAUAUACUCACAAUUUCGAAGUAGAACGAGAGAUGAGAGUGAAUUUUGCUGAGUGGCUGAUUUUGGCAUGCAUGAGUGGACUGGUGAGGGUGGCGUGCUUUUGGGCGGCGGCAAAGUGAGGUGGCCUCCAUAGUCAUGCGUUUUUGUUCUGUUAUCAUCAUUCACACACACUCACGCAUAAAUUGGAAAGGAUUACAAAAGAUAAAGAUGGGUAGUUUUUUAAUACAAAACCAAUUAAAGUGAAGUGGCCUGGGAGAGAGUGGGAGGAAAUUAAAUGGUUUUGUUUGGAUAACAACAAAAUUGGCCAGGGAAUCAGUGGGAGGGGAUUUAUUUGUAUUUCACGAUUUCAUUAGAGAAACUUAUAUUCUAUUUAAGUUUAGUUAUUCUUUUAUUUUAAUUUUUAUCCAAUAUAAUAUGUAUUCU